ensembl:lncRNA
CUAGGCAGUGCCCUGUGAAAGUACCUGAGCCACUUGCUUUGUCUACCUCUUUGUCCUGUUUCCUUAACAGUCAUACCCAGAAGUGUUUUUAUCCCCCCAUAUUCUUCUGUCAAACUAGUUUUUAAAACUACACCUUUUCAUCCUUUCUCUGCUCCUUUCUCUUCUCUGUCACUCAUCUCCUCCCGCCACCCACAGCUUUCCUUUUUCCAGGGGGAGCUGUGGGGUCUCAUUGCCUUUGGUUGCUGUGGCUGGCACUGGCUUGGCUGUGCCUUUCAUCAGAUGGCUUCAGAGGUUCUCUCCUGCACCCUGCCCUAUCCCUGUGCUUUUGACACAUUCAGGGACAAAGUUGGAGUUCCCACCAACCCCACUGAAGGCUCUGCAAUGUACUGCAUCUCCCACUUAGAUGAAUGCUCAUCGUUUUGGCUGGUGAAUGGGAAGAUUUCAAAAUGAAGGGUGAGGGCCAUCCAUACCUGGGGAAUUCAGCUGGACCCCAGGAGCAGAGAGGACUGUGGCUGCAUACCUCCAGGCUGAGAAGGAAGCUCAACACAGAUUUUGCCUUUCCCAGUGAAGUCUUCUCUCACAGACUCGUGAGAUAGGGUUGUGUAUGUGAAGAAUUACGGACUUCCAUGGGUGCUGAGCACAGCUGGCUCCAGAAUUGUCAGAGAUCAGCACCAGUUUAGAUGUCAAAGGACAAAAGGCAAAGAACUGACAUCCAUCUUCAGAUUUCCAAAAAAUAUUUUGCAAGCAACUGGCCUUCUAGAUCCUGGUGGGUCCCAGCUUCCCAGGCUCUCUCCUCAGAUCCAGCUGCUUGCUUCUAGUAAGAAGAGGAAGGCGGAAUAUCAGUGAAAUACUCCCUGAAAUAACAAGAGAUCUCAAGACUGACAGAUUUUCCUAACUCCAGGUGUAGCCUGUCGAAAAAUCUAUGAAAAAUCAGAUGUGCUUUCCUGAAAUGGAAUUUAAGAACAUCUUCGAGCUGACCAAAGAAUAUACCUAGAGAAGUGGUAACCUUUUGUUUGGAUAAAACUUUCACUGGGACCAAAAUAUAGUUGCUUACAUAAGUUGUUUUUUGGGUGUUUUUUUUAAGACUUCGUCUUAAAAAAUUACAGUAUGAUGGAUGGCUGAAGGAAACCUACGUUUUGGGAUGUUGUUGAGGAGGGAUUCGUUUUAUUUACCUGUUUCUGAAGUAAAUUUCUAUGUUUUUAUUCUGCAAAAACAAUGUUCAGAUUACAAAAUCUUCAGUUUGAAGGGAUAUCUGCAGUUCUACGAGAAGUCUUUCGAAACUCUCUCAAGAUACUCUUUCACAUUUUGUCUAUAACCAACAACCUUUCAUAGAAUCAUAGAAUCGCUAAGGUUGGAAAAGACCCACAGGAUCAUCCAGUCCAACCAUUUGCCCAUCACCAAUGGUUCUCGCUAAACCAUGUCCCUCAACACAACAUCCAAACGCUCUUUGAACACCACCAGGGUCGGUGACUCCAACACAUCUCUGGGCACUUUCUCAGGACAGAUGCCUUGGAGUUAACUCAGCAGAGUCAUGCUGAUGUAAACUUGGGAUGCAAGAUGGCCAGUUGUCAAGGUUCCUCGUCAUCUGCAAAACCUGUG